rnacentral:rRNA from 1 species
CUACGGGAGGCUGCAGUGGGGAAUAUUGGACAAUGGGGGAAACCCUGAUCCAGCAAUGCCGCGUGUGUGAAGAAGGCCUGCGGGUUGUAAAGCACUUUCGGUUGGGAGGACUGCUUCUAGCACUAAUAUUGUUGGAAGUUGACGUUACCUUCAGAAGAAGCACCGGCUAACUCCGUGCCAGCAGCCGCGGUAAUACGGAGGGUGCAAGCGUUAAUCGGAAUUACUGGGCGUAAAGCGCGCGUAGGCGGCUAGAUCAGUCGGGUGUGAAAGCCCCGGGCUUAACCUGGGAACUGCAUCCGAUACUGCCUAGCUUGAGUACAGGAGAGGAGAGUGGAAUUCCACAUGUAGCGGUGAAAUGCGUAGAUAUGUGGAGGAACACCAAUGGCGAAGGCAGCUCUCUGGCCUGAUACUGACGCUGAGGUGCGAAAGCGUGGGGGGCAAACAGGAUUAGAUACCCCAGUAGUC